rnacentral:lncRNA from 1 species
ACUUCACCUAAUUCCUUUCCUCUUCUAGCCUGACCCCCAGGCUGGUCACAUCCCUCCUGCCAUUCUUCAACUGAUUAGAAGAUGAAGCCAUGCAUUCUCAUCUCCAGGUUAGUAAUCCAGGGGCUAAACAUCUGCGAGAUGAAGGAUAACCCACUUGGUGCCUUUCCCCAUUGACCUCAUCCCAGGAACUGGAAGAUGUGCCUGCGGCAGAGCCUCCAGGCCCAUGUUCAAAGAAUGACAUAACUCCUGACUCUGGAUUGUCUUAGUCCAUAGAGACCUGCCUGGGCUUCUUUCCUGGUCAACUACCAGGCUAGUUCCCUUCUCAGGUCCCACUUACUUGGCAGAAGGAGUGAAGGGAGGCACCACCUGCAGAGAGAAACAAGUGCUGUGGGCCUAUGAGGCCUCCCUGGUCAUAGCUAGGUGCCCAUAGGCCUGCCAGCUUGCCUCUCCCUAGGCACCUGUUGCCAUGUGUCCCUCGUGAAUCCUCCUUCUCUUCCACCCUUAAGCCCAAAUGCCUUCUCGUCCAUGAGCCUGAGCUUCCAUGAUCUAGAUGUCUGAGUAUGUCCACAUGUAGAAAUAUACAACUACCAUAUGUCAGUAUUGGAAGAAAUCAUAGAGAUGAUAAUAAUAAUUAACAUGUGUAUAACUCUUUAGGAUUUUUAAAGCAUUUUAACAUGUUGCCCCAUUUGAUCCUCACAAGAACUUUGUGAAGUAGGGGCGAUUAUCAUUCCCAUUUUAUAGUUGAGGAAACAGACUGAGAGAGGUUAUAUGACUUGCCUAGGGUUAUACAGCCAGUAAGUAUCUGAGAAGUAUCUCAGGUCUUCCUAACUCCAAGUCCAAUAUGCUAUCCAUUUCACCACCUAGAUCAUAGAAGUAGCAUGAUGCAGUGGAAAAAAUGUUGGCUUUGGAGUAAGAGGCCCCGAGUUCAAAUGUUGCUCUGAUGUUUACUACAUGUGUGACUUUAGACAACUUACUUAAAUUUCCUGGGACUCAGUUUCCUCAUCUGUAAAACUAAAAGAGACAGAAUAGAUGGCUUCUGAUGUCCCUUCUUAAUUUAAGGUUUAGUACAACUUCUUCAUUUUACAGGUGAGGCCAAAAGAGAAGUGAUCAGAACAAAGUCACAGAGAUAGUAACAGAGACCUUUAGGUCCCAUGCCUGCUGACUUGAGGGUCUAGCGUGCAUUCUCUUAUAUCAU